rnacentral:lncRNA from 1 species
GGUGAACAUUAAUUUUCAAAUAAUGAAGAAUAUGAGAUAGUAAAAUGGCCUAAACAAUGAUGUGUUCAUAAUGGAAAACAUAUAUUUUUAAUGAUAAACAUACUGCACAUUUGACCAAUUACACACGUCACACAAUAUUCAAAAUUAAAGCCAUUUAUAAAAGCCUAAAAAUGCCCAUUGAUCGUACCAAAGAAAAAAUAAUAACAAAAAAAUUAGGAUGUAAGGCACUUAGCAAACCCAAUUAGUUUAAGCAAA